UAGGGAAUAUUGGGCAAUGGGUGCGAGCCUGACCCAGCCAUGCCGCGUGCCGGAAGACGGCCCUUCGGGUUGUAAACGGCUUUUAUAUAGGAACAAAAGGGCCCUGCGGGGCAGAUUGCGUGUACUAUAUGAAUAAGCACCGGCUAACUCCGUGCCAGCAGCCGCGGUAAUACGGAGGGUGCCAGCGUUGUCCGGAUUUAUUGGGUUUAAAGGGUACGUAGGCGGAAGGGUAAGUCCGGGGUGAAAGCCCGCAGCUCAACUGCGGUGGUGGCUUGGAUACUGGUCCUCUUGAGUGCCGUAGAGGUAGGCGGAAUUCAUGGUGUAGCGGUGAAAUGCAUAGAUACCAUGAGGAACACCGAUAGGGAAGCCAGCUUACUGGACGGUCACUGACGCUGAGGUACGAAAGCGUGGGUAGCAAACAGGAUUAGAUACCCCUGUAGUCC
rnacentral:rRNA from 1 species